rnacentral:rRNA from 1 species
UACGUAGGGGGCAAGCGUUGUCCGGAAUCAUUGGGCGUAAAGAGCGUGUAGGCGGCUUGUCGCGUCUGCUGUGAAAUUUCGGGGCUCAACCCCGAACUUGCAGUGGGUACGGGCAGACUAGAGUGUGGUAGGGGAGACUGGAAUUCCUGGUGUAGCGGUGAAAUGCGCAGAUAUCAGGAGGAACACCGAUGGCGAAGGCAGGUCUCUGGGCCAUAACUGACGCUGAGAAGCGAAAGCAUGGGGAGCGAACAGG